UUCAGACUUCACUGUGGAGAUGUCUCUACAUAGGGUCAAGCUAAGCGGUCUGCUAUUGAAUAAUGCUUUAAUUAGCUCCUCGUUCUCCUCUUUGGUAUUGAUUGGCGUUGCUUGUGAGUCUGGAUCUGAGUGUAGGUUUAAUCGAAUAAGGCUAUGGAGGUUCUGUGAUUUCUUGGAGUUCGUGGUAACACUUUGCGGCUGGAAGAUGGAGUAAGCCCCGGGAGGUGGCGAUGCUGCACCCUUACCCUUAACCGCCUUAGAGGACGAGUGCGAUUAGGUGAGUUGAGCGCUAUUAAGCACCUGUGGUUACUGUUGUCCUGUCUUUGUUGGAAUUAGGUUCAGAUCUUGCCCAGCCCGGAUUCUGAGGGUGGUCCUUGAGCGGGCCUGUCUCUGCUUCUCUGAGGAAGGUAAUUGUGCAUGCAAUAGGGUGAAACAAGUUCUCGCUAGCAUCGUGUCCACCGAGCUUUGGUCUUCCGGUCUCUCCAUUCUUGCCCACCUCGUUUCGACCUUUCAUCCGACUUUUCAAGUUUGUAUCGAUUACUGUUAUCCUGUUCGCUUUCAAGCAGAACGGUUUCAGUGGCGAUUGUCAUUUGAUUACAUGUUUUUUAAACUUUUUUGCCGUGUAAUCAAGCAUAGAGGUCGAACAGCUUGUGUAACAAUUUGUAAUCUCAAACGUUCAUUUCAUAAUGAUAUUUACCAUUUAGCAAAAAAAUAAUAAUAAGCCUUCUCUCUCUUUACCACACUCUUCUUUUAGCUUCUUGAGAGCGUUGCAUUAGGCAGCUGUCGUUAACCGUUUUAUUCCUGUUUAAACAUGCCUAUUCGUAUAUGCACAUAUACUCAGUCCCCGACCAGCCUCGUUGGGCGCCUAAAGCCCAAAGAAAUUUAAACCCAUAAAAAAUAAAUUGUAUGUAAAAAAGUAAAGAAAGCGCGCACCUCCUUGAUUCGAGAAACAGUUCUAACAACUGCACUAACGUUAGCUUUUGGUAAUUGAUUGCCCCUAAAAUAUAUAAUCUAUUUUUCGCACCUAAAGCAAGGGUUAGCCCAGGGCCGACCCUGCACAUACGCAACAAGGAGAUUCCUUGGGGUCCAGACGGUCUGUUUGAGGUGAAGCACAACAACGAAGGCCCCUGACAUCUUUGCCUCUUUACAAUCAUUUAUUUCUUCUUUCUUCACUUGAAAUGCUAAUGCUUGUCUUCUUUGCCUCUUGCUUUAAUCAGUUUUGUGUUCGUCAAUCUUCUCCUAAUUGUUUGAAGAGGAAUCAGUAGAUUCAACCUGUUCAGUAUUUUUAUCAAUGUCUAAACAUAUACUAUAUACUAUUAAUCGGCGUAAAUGACUAAAUUUGUUGUUGGAUUAAUGUGAGCUAACGUCGGAAAUUUAAAAAAUCAGAACUUCUUCUAUGUUCUAGUACGGUUUAUAAUCUCAUCUUAUCAAAGAUCCAUCUGGAAUAUUUUUUUUUUUGGGAUAACUAUUUUCACUAAAACUUAAAAUCUCAGACUAUACGAAAAGUUUAUAGCGCUACAAGUAUAAAACAAAACAGAGCUAAUACGAGUAGAGAAAUUUCUAAGAUAAAAAUA